rnacentral:rRNA from 1 species
CGUGUAGGCGGUGCGGUAAGUUGGGCGUGAAAUCCCCGAGCUUAACUCGGGUGGGCCGUUCAAGACUGCCGUGCUAGGGUGCGGGAGAGGGAAGUGGAAUUUCCGGUGUAGCGGUGAAAUGCGUAGAUAUCGGGAGGAACACCUGCGGCGAAGGCGGCUUCCUGGACCGUGACCGACGCUGAGGCGCGAAAGCUAGGGGAGCAAACAGGAUUAGAUACCCUGGUAGUCCUAGCCCUAAACGAUGAGCACUGGGUGUGGCCCCUCACGGGGCCGUGCCGAAGCUAACGCAUUAAGUGCUCCGCCUGGGGAGUACGGUCGCAAGGCUGAA